ensembl:lncRNA PMS2P4 PMS1 homolog 2, mismatch repair system component pseudogene 4
AGGAGGCGGGGCGCCUGUGGGAGUCGUGGAGGGAACUUUCCCAGGCCCCGAGGCGGAUCGGGUAUUGAGUCCAUGGAGCGAGCUGAGAGCUAGAGAACCUGCUAAGGCCAUCAAACCUAUCGAUCGGAAGUCAGUCCAUCAGAUUUGCUCUGGGCCGGUGGUACUGAGUCUAAGCACUGCGGUGAAGGAGUUAGUAGAAAACAGUCUGGAUGCUGGUGCCACCAAUAUUGAUCUAAAGCUUAAGGACUAUGGAGUGGAUCUCAUUGAAGUUUCAGACAAUGGAUGUGGGGUAGAAGAAGAAAACUUUGAAGGCUUAACGAUGUCACCAUUUCUACCUGCCACGCAUCGGCGAAGGUUGGGACUCGACUGGUGUUUGAUCACGAUGGGAAAAUCAUCCAGAAAACCCCCUACCCCCACCCCAGAGGGACCACAGUCAGCGUGAAGCAGUUAUUUUCUACACUACCUGUGCACCAUAAGGAAUUUCAAAGGAAUAUUAAGAAGACGUGCCUGUUUCCCCUUCGCCUUCUGCCGUGAUUGUCAGUUUCCUGAGGCCUCCCCAGCCAUGCUUCCUGUACAGCCUGCAGAACUGUGAGUCAAUUAAACCUCUUUUCUUCAUAAAUUA